GAUGAACGCUGGCGGCGUGCCUAAUACAUGCAAGUCGAGCGAACAGACGAGGAGCUUGCUCCUUUUACGUUAGCGGCGGACGGGUGAGUAACACGUGGAUAACCUACCUAUAAGACUGGGAUAACUUCGGGAAACCGGAGCUAAUACCGGAUAACAUGUUGAACCGCAUGGUUCAACAGUGAAAGACGGUCUUGCUGUCACUUAUAGAUGGAUCCGCGCCGCAUUAGCUAGUUGGUAAGGUAACGGCUUACCAAGGCAACGAUGCGUAGCCGACCUGAGAGGGUGAUCGGCCACACUGGAACUGAGACACGGUCCAGACUCCUACGGGAGGCAGCAGUAGGGAAUCUUCCGCAAUGGGCGAAAGCCUGACGGAGCAACGCCGAGUGAGUGAAGAAGGUCUUCGGAUAGUAAAACUCUGUUAUUAGGGAAGAACAAAUGUGUAAGUAACUAUGCACGUCUUGACGGUACCUAAUCAGAAAGCCACGGCUAACUACGUG
rnacentral:rRNA from 1 species